GAGUAAACGCUGCUCCUAAGUCGUAUGCGCAAAAAUAAUUAUCUUGGGAAAAAGUUUCUUCUUUCUCUCACUGCUCAUUGGUUUGAGCUUCAGAGAUCGCACGACGCGAUACAAGCUCUACAAAUUUCAAAUCAGAGAUCUUAACUUCUACAUUCAAAUUAUUCCUUUAUCUUCUAUUUUUUCUGAGUGUAUCUGUAUGUACACAUACAUAUAAUACCAUAUAUAUACAAUAAAGCUGUGUUUGGUAGGUCAAUAAAUUGUAGUAUAUAUCCGGUCAGGAGAUAUCCCUGGUGGGGUUUUUCUGGGUUUUCGAUUUUGUCAAAUGGGUCGUUGAGUUUUUUUUUUGGUUUUAAAGGAGGUUUUGUAGAGUAAGAAACUGUCUCUCGAGGGUUGUUAAUAGCUUACUUUUUGCUAUCUUUUAUCUUCUAUUAAUGUAAUUUUUCAAUUUUGAUGAUUUCGGUGGGUAGUAUGGAUGGGAGAAAAUUGUCGGGUUUAGGGUCAGAAAUGGAAGUGAACGAACUCGAAGAAGGAGAGGCCGGCUGUUUGCUGAAUGAUGGCGACGCUUCUACCAUUGACCCUGAUAUUACUCUCUCUUACAUUGUAAGUUCAUUUUUUUUAUUAAUUUUUCUUGUAAUUAGUUUAAGCUGGAUGCAGUCUAAUUUAUGAAUAUUCAUAGACAUCCUGUUCACUUGUCAAUUAUAAGCUGGAUGUAGUAUGAUUUAUGAAUAGAUAUCCUGUUCAGUUCUCAAUUAUGUGUGCUAUUUCUGUUUAUUGUUAGUUACUUAUGCCUAAUAAUUUCGUUCCAAGAAUAUGUUAAUAAAAGGGAUAACUGGUGUUUCGUAUUUAAUUAAUUCUUGUUCAGACUUAGUUAAGAGAGAUAAAAAAUACUAUGUUUGGGCAUUAUUAAUGAUGUAUGGUACACUGUGUCUAGUUUUUGAACUUCCGAAGAUGGCUAGAGUAGGACUAGAGAUAAUGAUCUGUCAUAAAGAGUUGUAGAAGUUAGUCAUUGUUGGUGUCUUGGUUAGAAUGUGUCUUUAAUGUGUUAUUUUGCACUUUUGAAGGGGGAGAAACUCCAAAAUGUUCUCGGACAUUUUCAGAAAGAUUUUGAAGGUGGAGUUUCAGCUGAGAAUUUGGGUGAGUUGACACGAAGAAUGACUGAUCACAAAAAAUUCGAGGGUCACACUAAUGUGGCUUAGAGUAUGAAGUACUGAUGGGACUUUAAUUGCCUAACAGGGGCAAAAUUUGGCGGCUAUGGUUCAUUUUUACCAACUUAUCAACGGUCUCCUUCUUCGUCUCGUCCAAAGAGUUCACCCGAAGUUCAUAACUAUAGUGCGCCCAAAUUCCUAAACAAUCUGCAUUCGGAGGUAGAUAGUUUUAAAUUUGAAUCUAUACUUUUUCUGUUCAUGAUUCUCUACAGCACAAUGGAACAAGGACUUGUCUCCCCUGACAUGAAAAUUCUAGUUUACUUGAACACUCUGAGUUGUAUACGAUACAGGACAGUAGGGAAAACUCAUUCGCUUUGACAAGUGAUUCUCUAUCUUCAAGGCCUGGAGCAUCUUCAGGAAAGACUGCAGCCAUAUGCGAUCCUGUGAAAAGGGAUGUCUCCACCCUGUCCACACAUGCUGAAGAGGUCACUUCAAACAUCGGGCUUGUUAAGAUGUCUGGUAAUCCUUCUGAACAAAGAACUUUGAAGGUCCGAAUCAAAGUUGAUGCUGAAAAUUUGUCGACACGACAGAAUGCUGAAAUCUACAGUGGACUUGGUCUUGAUGUAUCUCCAUCAUCUUCAUUAGAUGAUAAUCCAGUAGUUAAUGAAGGUUUAUGUGGUAACAAUCAGGAUGUGCCAGACAAAUCUCCGACUAGUAUUCUUCAGGUGAAUAAUAGUCCCUCAUCAUUCAUCUCGACUUUCUGAUUCUUUCUCUCUUUCUUUUUUUCAUUUUUCUUUUAAUGGUAAAUCAACCUGAUAUUAUGAGGUUUAUUUUGACACUGUACUAUUACUGCAUCGGAACAGAUUAUGACAUCAUUUCCUGCCCACGGGAGCCUUCUUUUAUCCCCUCUAUCCGAUGAUCUGAUUCGUCUCUUUGAAAAAGGAAAGUUUAGGGGGAAGAUCCAAUCCAAACUCGUGCAUAAAGAAACCUUGGAAAGUUCUUUGAUGUUAAUUGGUGGGUCUCCAUCUAGUAGGAGAAAUCAGAAAGUUUUAAAGAAAUGGAUGUCAUCUGAAAGGGAUGACACAUUUUCUACACAAUUCAUAAGCGAGAAGAACAACGAUAGUCUGGUGAAGAAGGAAACUGAUAUUGACAUUUUAGGUUGUGAGGAACUUGUUUCUAAUGCUCUUAAACUCCCGCUUUUAUCAAGUUCACAGCAUGGUGAUGGUAUUCCCAUGAAUGGUACCUCUAGGGAAGUUGAUAUUUCUUCUAAAGAUGGGGUGACGGACAAAACCUGCUCUGGACCGAUAGAGAAGGAAAUUUUCAGGAGUUUGUUUGCUCAAGAUAUUGACAGGGUUGAGGAGUACGAUGAAGAUCUGCAUCCACUGGACAAGGUUUCGGAAAAUAAAAAUGCAAAUUUUGGGUUUGACAGUGCUGAUUUUCCACAGGAUGAUGCCCAAAAAGCAGAAAAAGUUCAAUUUGAGUCAAAUUUCUGUAAGGGGAUAAAGGCUUCUGAUGCUGAAGCGAAACAAUUGGAAGUUCAGAAAGAAGCAUACAGUAAUGAGGAAGGUGUGAAACUUACUCCUGGAAAGGAGCAUAUAUCUUCAGCAUCCAGGAAGAAAUCAAAAGAAGUUCAGAGUGUUUCAAAAGAUCAGUUAAUGCAUGAUUCUUCUUUGAUGCCUAAAAGUAGGAAGGGCUCUCUUGGUAACAAUCUUAUGUCUAAAAAUGAUUCACUUGAUUUCAAGAGGGACCAUGGAAAGCCUGGAGACAGAUAUAAGGACUUCUUUGGAGACCUAGAACUUGAAGAAGAAGAUAGUGAAUCGAUUUCAGGGGAAAUCCCUUCCUCGAGAAUUUUGAAGGACUCUCAGCUAAUUGAAAAGAGGAGCAUCAUUGAAUCUCACAAUGCAUCAAAGGAGAAAAGUGAUGUUAAAAGAAUAAAAAAGCCACCUUCCUAUUCUGAAAUGGCUUCGAGAAUGGCCCCUCAAACUGUAAGUGGGCCCACUUCUGAUGCUACCUCUGCAGGAGUGGAUCCUUUUGUCCAAGAAGAUUGGGUCCUGUGUGAUAGGUGUCAACGGUGGAGACUUCUUCCACUUGGUACAAAUCCUCAGAGUCUUCCUGAUAAAUGGCGUUGUAGGAUGCUCACCUGGCUGUAAGUUUUGUCAAUGUUAUAUUUAUAAACUAUUGGCUAGUAAAAAAGAACAACAAUUUAUCUCAAAUAUAUAUGGAAUAAGGCUUAUUUUGUUUCUGUAACAAGAAACGUGCUGCUCCAAAAGACAUUCUGCAUGCGCAUGCAUGUGCUUAGAGUACUCGACUCUUGAUAAUUUGAACAUUUCUCUAGGCCUGGAAUGAACCACUGUAGUAUCCCUGAGGACCAGACUACAAAGGCUUUACGUGCCCUCUACCAUCUUGCUCCUACUUCAGGUCCUGCCCCUGCUUCUGAGAGCCAACACAAUCCCCUUAAUUAUCCUGCUAGGACUUUGUUGGGAGUAUCAUCAGCUGAUGCUAAGUGUCUCGGUGAUGAACGACAAAAUAUUUGUUCUCAAGAUAGAGUCAAUGGGAAGAAAAAACACGGGUCAAUAGAUGUGAAAAAUUCAAAUGACUUAGAUGAUCCCACUCACGUUUCAGACUCGCAGAAAAAGGACGUUAAGGUACCAGGCAAAACUGGAGCGAACUACUCUCCUUCUGUUGAUGCAUAUCAGCAUUUGCGCCACUCUAGUAGUGUAGUUGUAGAGAAGCACAAGGAUGAUAAGAAAGAGAAAAAGUCAUCACUAGAGG
rnacentral:lncRNA from 1 species